UUCUUUGAAAGAGCACCAUCAAGUACCAAGGCAGAAGUGGAAGGAGGCUUGAAUGCCAUCAUUCACCACAACUCUGGAAUCUAGAAUUCUAGACAGUGGUGGAAGAGUCUUUUCCAACUAGACUCCAGUGAUGAUGAUUUGGGAAGGAUGUCCAUCACAGUUUGUGUUAAAGUAAUAGACCUAACAAGAUGAAAGACAAGGCAAAGAAGAAGUUAAAAGGCUGCAAUUUUAAACCAGACAAAUAUAA